AAAGAUAUAAACUUGUAUAAAAUAUAUGGAGUUGAAUGCCUGUCAUGCUAAUUUAAUUAUUUGGGUUGUCAUGCAUUUUAGAUAUCAGGUCAUUUAAAAUAUGGUUUCUUUGCAGUUACCAAUCCUGCUGGCAGCUAUGAUUAUUUGUUGUAUAUUUAGAGCUCAAAUUUAAGACCUUUAAUUAAGAGACAUAAAUUCUUUAUUAGUUGAUGUAAGCGCCAGAUAGUUCUUGAAAUAAGCAUUGAAUUUAAACCAAUAGAAGAAUUAAUUUACAUAAUAAUAUAAUAUAAUUUUUUUGUAAUUAUAAUGUACUAUUAAACAUGCAAUAAAUUUUUAGAAGAUUAUUUUUUUUUAACCUGAUUAAAAGAUAAUCGUUGUCAAAGAAUCAUAGCUAUAGACAUUGACACAUUAUUCUUUUUUAUAAUAUCUUAAAUAAAAUAUCUAUCAUAUUUUUUAAUUCUUAUUCUUAUUCUUCCCUUCCCAUGGUGGUUGUUUUUUUUUAAUAAAUAUUUUCAAGAGGGAAUAUCAAUUAGAUUCCAAAAAAAUUGAUUAAAAGACAUUGAUCUUCCGGAUAAAAUUUAAUGAAAAAUAAAUUAUUAAUAUUAAUUUAAGUAAUUAUAAAUAAAAUUUUUUAUUAUAAUUUUAAAAUUAUAUUUAAUAUUUAAAUACUUAUUUAUAAUUAUAUCGAUUGAUAUUUUAAACUUAUUAAUUUAAUAUGUUGGAACCUCAUUCCUCUUUUUUUUUUUUUUUUUGGUUAAUUUUUUAAAGCGUAGUUCACCCGCGAGGCGAUUUCCACGAGGCAACACAGAAACGAACCAUAGAGAAAUCAACUCCAAAGUGCUUUCAUUCCUUGACAAGUAAAGAAGCAUCGAAGACCGGAAAUGUGGUGCAAAGGAUCAAGGACAACGAAAAAGUUCGAAACUUUCAAACGAGCUCAAGCUUAUGAGAGAGAGAGAGAGAGAGAGAGAGAGAGAGAGAGAUGUGAGAGUGAGUAUCGCAUUCUGGGUUUCUCCCGAUUUUGCAGGUUUUCUUCUGGCCUGGUGAAGCGUUUUCUCGAAGUGGAGAAAGCUCGAGAAAAUGUCGAGAAACGAGGUGGGGGAGAGCGUGCCUAUUCUUUCUUCAAAUAACGGCGGAGUUAGAGCGAGACCGGACCUGUUCUUAGUGGCGUGUAGAUGCUUCAGCUUGCUGACCAGUUUGGCUGCCAUUCUCUGCAUAGUCUUCAAUGUUCUAUCUGCUAUAAGGAGCUUCAAGCACAUAUCUGGUAUUUUCGAUGGCAUAUUUCGAUGCUAUGCGGUUUUGAUAUCUUGUUUGGUAGUUCUGGCUGAAACAGAAUGGAGCUUGAUCAUGAAGUCAUUCAAGGCUUUGGAGUGUUGGCCUUGCAGGGGUAUGCUACAGAUCUUUGUUGCAGUAAUGACAAGAGCCUAUCCCAAUUUUGUUGGGGAGCGAACAGAAUCUAUUCUUCAGAACGUAGCAUGCUAUAUGCUUCUUGCUUGUGGUGUACUUUAUAUUGUUUCGACUGUUGAUCUCUGCUUCUCAAUCUUGGAAUCAAAGACAAAGCUGACAUUCUUUAUAAUAAUAAAAAUUCAAGGGAAUCCUAUGUAUUAGCUUUAUGAAAAGUGCUCGGGAACAGAGGGAGACCUUAAGAGAGCAAGCAGCUAAGGAUCUGGAGGAGUUGGAACGGCGUAGAGAAGAGCUUGAACGUCUGCUUCUUGCAGAAAGGGUAUGAAAGCUUUUGAAUCAAGAAAUGCCAAAACGGUCUCAUGCUACAUGGUGAAGGUACCUCCAAUAAGCAACAGCAACCUCAUUCAGUUUAUGAUAUUGCAUGCGUGAACACUGUAUUUUUACUAUGAACAUGGUACGACAAUGUCGUUUUGUACAUUCUUUCUCUCUGUCACUCGCUUGUAUCCUUUGUAACUAUUGAACCUUGUUCUACAAGUAGAGCAAUUGACUGUAGCCAAUUCUGUGGAAUCUAUGAACACUUCAUGUAAAUACCCUGCUUGACAUGAAAAUAACAACAAUUUGGAGAGUUGUUUUGUAUAGUGUUUAUCAUCCAAGAAUCUGUAUUUUCAAUGUA